AUAGGAGAGAAAUGAUGCCUCACCAGAGUUAUACGUGGUAAAGAUUAAUAAAAAGGAGAAAACAAGAGUAACCAGGUUAAUUUUUUAGUCCUUCCUGGAACUGACCCAGCCCAAUGGUUAAUCUUUUUGACCCCUUUAGGAAUUCUUGGACCCCAUCCCAGGUGUAUGCAACACAACCUGAGAAUCCAGAGCAGUCCAGAGCAGAGCUAGGGAGGACCUUGGAGGUCACCCUGACCAAGACUGAUCCUGUUUCAGAGGCAAAAUGGAGACCAGGAAAGAACAAACAGAGUGACUGAGUCCUGGGGAUUGAACCAAGGUGUGCUCUACCACUGAGCCACAAAUGAAUUUCAAGUAGAAGAAAUAGCUUGCCCUGUUCUUGGACUCAAAUGUUAUUUGAGUUGGGAGUUUGGGACUGAAUCUUCCUGAGACAGCAGAUAUUUUCCUUUGCAAAAUUCCAGCUCAGUGACUCGAUGGAGAAAAGACAAUCUAUACUUUAAAAUGUAAAUGUUGUACCAUUUACAGCAUUCCACAACAUCUAAAAAUCUUCUGGCCCAUUGGGAGACAAGUGAUGUUCUUCUCUCAGUUCCAGACAGCUGGGAGGCCCAGAUUUGACCAACUGCUGAUUCCACCCCUUUAUACAGAGAAUUGUUGAUUGAGUCAUCUACAUUCAGGAUGAAAUAUUGUUUCUAAUAAAUAUGAGGUUAAUUUA